CCGCGGGAAAUUCGAUUGGCGGACGGGUGAGUAAUGCUUGGGAACUUGCCUUUGCGAGAGGGGAUAACUAUUGGAAACGAUAGCUAAUACCGCAUAAUGUUUUCGAACCAAAGUGGGCUUAGGCUCACGCGCAGAGAGAGGCCCAAGUGAGAUUAGCUAGUUGGUAAGGUAAAGGCUUACCAAGGCGACGAUCUCUAGCUGUUCUGAGAGGAAGAUCAGCCACACUGGGACUGAGACACGGCCCAGACUCCUACGGGAGGCAGCAGUGGGGAAUAUUGCACAAUGGGGGGAACCCUGAUGCAGCCAUGCCGCGUGUGUGAAGAAGGCCUUCGGGUUGUAAAGCACUUUCAGUUGUGAGGAAAAGUUAGUAGUUAAUACCUGCUAUCCGUGACGUUAACAACAGAAGAAGCACCGGCUAACUCCGUGCCAGCAGCCGCGGUAAUACGGAGGGUGCGAGCGUUAAUCGGAAUUACUGGGCGUAAAGCGCACGCAGGCGGUCUGUUAAGCUAGAUGUGAAAGCCCUGCGCUCAACGUGGGAUGGUCAUUUAGAACUGGCAGACUAGAGUCUUGGAGAGGGGAGUGGAAUUUCUGGUGUAGCGGUGAAAUGCGUAGAGAUCAGAAGGAACAUCAAUGGCGAAGGCAGCUCUCUGGCCAAAGACUGACGCUCAUGUGCGAAAGUGUGGGUAGCGAACAGGAUUAGAUACCCUGGUAGUCCACACCGUAAACGCUGUCUACUAGCUGUAUGUGUGUUUAACACGUGUGUAGCGAAGCUAACGCGCUAAGUAG
rnacentral:rRNA from 1 species